AGACCGGGAUGGGGGGGAACGGGACGGGACGGGACGGGACGAGCACGGCGGGUACGAGCACCGUGCGGGGACGAGCUCCGUGCGCGUCGCUCUGGGCCGGACACGCAGCCGUUCCCGCGGCUCCGUGUCCGGCGCUACGUGCGCGUUCCCGCGCCCACACGGUGCUGUCACACACGGUGCUGUCACACACGGUGCUGUCACACGCAGCCGGGCCGGGCCGUCUGUCUGAGCUGACAUUAAAGCAUCAGUGACAGAAGGAAUGGGAAGGUGUCUCAAGCAGGUCAUUGGUUUGAUGGCUGAAACACGGCGUUAUGUUGAGGGGAUGCUGAUACCACGAAAUGACGGCGGGUAAUGACGAGUGGAGAGAAGAAAAUGAACAGCAUCAUUGGGCUUAGAAAAAGCACAAACAGCUGCCCCACAGUGCUGCUCUUGGGGAUUUCGUUUUCUCUGCUAAAACUCAAACUGAACAGUGAUGCAGGAAACUUAAAGCUGCAGUAGUAGCAGUAUCCAGGCACAGUCCUGCACUUCAGUCAUGAAAAUUUCCCAGCAUCAAAGCACACUCAGUCGGCCGCAGUAAAACUGGGUAAUUUCUAUAUUGGUGUGUGCUUCACUUGCCCUCAGUGAUCUGGAGCUCGCGUCUUUUGAAAACCAGCUUCUCCUCAUGAACCAGCUUCGCUUUGCUCAAGACUUGGAAUUCUGUAAACAAGCUGUGGGUGAUGCAAGCACUGACCCAAAGUUAUUCUACAGCAGUGACAAAACAUGUGCACAGUGUUUGUGCAGAACGUUAUGGUGACUUACAAGGAUGUCGCUGCAAUCACAGCUGGCGUGUGCUGAAGCUCCUUGCACUGAAAGGCGACGGAGAUCUUACAAAACAGACGUAGCGUGUGAUGUCAGCCUCAUGAGCUCCCUGCUUCUGAUAUCACCAGUUGCUGGAUGAAUACACGAACAUACAAACAGGCAGUAAGAGUAUUACAGAACCCCACAAGGCUCACAAUUUAUAAGUACAUCGUCUGUUUCCCCCACUCGCUCUCAGUUCAGCAUCAUGCUGGACAAGGGAUGCGUCCAAUAAAGGCAGAAGUUAAAGAAUGUAGAGUGGGAUUAUUGGGGUUUUAUGCGGUCCAGAUAUUGCUGCAAUCUCACUUUCAUUCUUUCUCUGCAGAAAGAAACAAGCUGUGCAGACAGGAGCGGUUUCUCUAAGGAAGUGGUGUUGCAGUGCUUUUAAAAAAAAAAGCCAAGCUGUUGGAAUAUGCAUUGCGUUACAUGGACAACACAACACCUUGUAGUGCUUCCUGUUUGCACCACGCCAUCCUACAACCUGCAAGCAUCUGUUAAUAAACACUCCUAAGGAAAGAAUUAACAGUAUCCAAAUAUACAACCCCCCCGUGGCAUCUGCUGCUGUAAAUGGACAGUUUUCAUGAUAGUAUCAGGGACCGUUUGUGUGAGACAAGCAGCUUCUGUGGCCCAGUCCACGUCCCACCGAAAUCCACACCGCAUCUCAUGGGGCCAUUGCAGCCCCGGCAUCCUUUAUUUUUUCCCCUGUAAAUACAUAAAUAGUGAUUCAUUUGAAUAAAUUUCUA